rnacentral:rRNA from 1 species
CCCUUAGAUGUCCUGGGCCGCACGCGCGUUACACUGAUACAUUCAACGAGCUUAUAACCUUGGCCGAGAGGCCUGGGCAAUCUUGUUAACGUGCAUCGUGAUAGGGAUAGAUUAUUGAAAUUAUUAAUCUUGAACGAGGAAUUCCUAGUAAACGCAGAUCAUCAAUCUGCAUUGAUUACGUCCCUGCCCUUUGUACACACCGCCCGUCGCACCUACCGAUUGGAUGGUCCGGUGAAGCCUCGGGAUUGUGGUUCUUGCCGCUUUAUUGUGGCGUGACCGCGAGAACUUGUCUAAACCUUAUCAUCUAGAGGAAGGUGAAGUCGUAACA